rnacentral:rRNA from 1 species
GAUGAACGCUGGCGGCGUGCUUAACACAUGCAAGUCGAACGGUGAGCGAGGGAGCUUGCUCCCUCCGGAUCAGUGGCGAACGGGUGAGUAACACGUGAGCAAUCUGCCCUGGACUCUGGGAUAAGCGUUGGAAACGACGUCUAAUACCGGAUACGAGGCGUGGGGGCAUCCCCAACGCCUGGAAAGAACUUCGGUCCAGGAUGAGCUCGCGGCCUAUCAGCUAGUUGGUGAGGUAACGGCUCACCAAGGCGACGACGGGUAGCCGGCCUGAGAGGGUGACCGGCCACACUGGGACUGAGACACGGCCCAGACUCCUACGGGAGGCAGCAGUGGGGAAUAUUGCACAAUGGGCGCAAGCCUGAUGCAGCAACGCCGCGUGAGGGACGACGGCCUUCGGGUUGUAAACCUCUUUAGCAGGGAAGAAGCGAAAGUGACGGUACCUGCAGAAAAAGCACCGGCUAACUACGUGCCAGCAGCCGCCGUAAGAC